rnacentral:RNase_P_RNA from 1 species
CAGACAGGGUGUAUCGGUCGCUCGCUUCGUUGAGAAGCGGGAGGAAAGUCCGGACUCCGUAGGGCAGGAUGUUCCGUGGUUAACGCGGGAACUCCGGUGCAAUAUCGCCGGAGAUGGAAAGUGCCACAGAAAAUAUACCGCCGUCCCGCACUUUUGUGGGGGAAGCACGAAACCGUUCGAAUUUCCGAAUUCGGGUUUCGGAUUUCCCCGCUCUGCGGGGCGGUAAGGGUGAAAUGGUGGGGUAAGAGCCCACCGCCCCGAGGGUAACCGAGGGGGCAGGGUAAACCCCGUCCGGAGCAAGAUCAAAUAGGAAACGAGAAGCGGCCCGCUUCGCUUGAGUUUCGGGUUGAUCGCACUAGAUAAAUGAUCGACCCCGCAAGGGGAACAGAAUCCGGCUUACCGCCCUGUCUGCUUU